rnacentral:rRNA from 1 species
CCUACGGGUGGCAGCAGUGGGGAAUAUUGGACAAUGGGGGGAACCCUGAUCCAGCCAUGCCGCGUGUGUGAAGAAGGCCCUCGGGUUGUAAAGCACUUUCAGUGAGGAAGAACGCCUGGUGGUUAAUACCCAUCAGGAAAGACAUCACUCACAGAAGAAGCACCGGCUAACUCCGUGCCAGUAGCCGCGGUAAUACGGAGGGUGCGAGCGUUAAUCGGAAUUACUGGGCGUAAAGCGCGCGUAGGUGGCUUGAUAAGCCGGUUGUGAAAGCCCCGGGCUCAACCUGGGAACGGCAUCCGGAACUGUCAAGCUAGAGUGCAGGAGAGGAAGGUAGAAUUCCCGGUGUAGCGGUGAAAUGCGUAGAGAUCGGGAGGAAUACCAGUGGCGAAGGCGGCCUUCUGGACUGACACUGACACUGAGGUGCGAAAGCGUGGGUAGCAAACAGGAUUAGAUACCCUGGUAGUC